GCAGAACGGACAAAAUGGCGCCCAGCGGAGACGUGUGAGGGGAAACAUGUGAGGAACCGCCCUGCCAGACCAGAGUGGAGAAGGGCAGCUGCUGGAACAAAUGUCUGACACUAAACAGCGAAUCCUACCGCAGACCUGAUUUCAUCCAGUCCCAGCAUCCUUCAAAAAAGCACAACUGGAAUUGGCUCCAUAAAAGAGACUGAUGUCACUUUCUUAAAUGAAGCGGCCUUGACAAUUUUCUGUGAUCUUUGGUGGAUCUUCUAGGCUGGGAGAGGAAAACGGGGCAUGACACUCUUGCACCUUCUACUGGAUAACAACAGAAAAGAGAGAGGAAAAGCUCAGUUCUACCGUGGCUGGAAGAUUUAGAAAAUGCUUAUUGCAAACUUCUGUGUGUUUCCAUCCUUAGGAAAGGAUGUUUACCAAAGCACCUUCCCCACUGCCCGGUUCUUGGCAGCCUUGGGAUGUGGCAGGUGCUCGCUGAGCUGGGCAGUGACAAGUUCUGCAGGACCCACGGUGGCACCACACCAUGAAACCAAGGCAGGAAAAGCGCCCAAGCUGAGUUUGCUCCCUGAAAACAAUCUGAGGCGAUGUGGAUUGCACCACGACCAGGAGCACGGCAAUCAAGAACAAAAAAUUAGGUUUAAAAUACACACGCACAAAUCAGAACUACUCCGGACACGAGAUAAUGCAAACUAACCUUGCCAGAAAUGAGCUGCAAAAUACCUUCAUUUUCUCAUACAGUGAAACCCUGAUAAAAUCACAACUGUUAAGGUCAUACAGUAUAUCAGGUGGAAUCACAGUCUUUAGAACUCCAUUAUUAAUGCACACAACCUCACAAUCAAAGAGGAUAAGAGCACAGUUCCCAGAUGCCAAUGAUUUGAUCCUAUCUUAUUUGGCUGUUUACAUUUAAAUAAUGUGGCCGUAUAAAUUUAAAUAAUAAGAACCACCAACAGAUGGAAUGCAGGGAAAAAAAAAAUGUGCCUUCCAUGAGACCCUGAACAUAUACUACACGGUGCUUUACAAUUUAUUUGAGCGGAGCUCAUAUUAAAAAAAAAAAAAAAAAGAAAAAAAGGAAAAAAAGGGAAAAAAAAGAGACUCAUUUCUUCUGCCAUUAUGGAAAUAAAAGGACUGGUGCUUUAGUUCGUUGCUAGCACUGCCAAAGAAACAUGCAGUUCUCUAACCUCCAGUACAAUGUACCCAUAAGGUACCAAGCAUCAAAGCAUAUUAAAAGAUAUUAACUGCAUAUUUGCUUAUGAACAAGAUAAAAAGCUGUAGGGCCUCCAGGUUCUCAAGCUGUGAGUGGAACAGCUUUGCAAUUUGCCUGCAAAACUGCAUUUUGAUCUUAAUGAAUAUAAAAUGGCUGCCAUUAAAAGUAAAACAGAUUAUUUCAGGUCUUUUAGGGCCCAUAGCUCUUUGACGGUCUUGGAGGGGCACUAUGAUCUUUCAUUAAAAUCUCACAGCAGGACUCCCUCACCAGCAAAUCAAGCCUUGCAGUCGAGGAGAUUGGCUACAUUUAAAAGUAAUUUUCAGAAAUCUACACAGAUUUUCAAUUUGGUAAUGAAAGCCAUAAGAGAAUGCAGGCAGCAUUUUGUUGAAUAUUGUUCCUAAUCCAGUGCUCACAUUCGUUAGAGAUUAAACUGCCCCGUAACUACCAGGCUGAUGGCAGCCUGCCAUUCCCGCUCUGCUGUAAACUCCGCUUGUUAAUGAGGAGCAUGUGCUAAUUGUUGUCAGCAUCCCUGCCAUACAUCCCUUCCCUAACAACAUAUUUUACCUGCUGAAAGGUGUUACCUCUUGCACUGUCAGCAUCCCAUUUGAGAGAACAAAUCUCAGAACGGUAGGAGAAAAGGUUCGGCGGCAUUUCGCGUGGCACGGAACUAAAAGGAUGUGUUUCAGUAUCGAUAUCCAGACCCUCCUGGCACCUCGUCCUGCAGUUGCUACUCCUACAUUAACACAUCAAGGCAUCCAGAUCAGGGUUACAUCAUCCCUCAGGUUCCUCCACAUGGAGCCCAAAGCACAACAUCAGCACCUCUGCUCUCAGAACAUGUGUGAUUGACUGACCACCACUCCAAGUCAGUGGAAAGACUAAAGAUGAGGGAUCAAUCCUAUCUGCUAAAAUCUGAAAUGGCUUCAUCCACACACAGCAUGGAUAAAACAGGGUGCUGGAGGAUACAUUUACCAACUUCACUGUGGUAUUUCACAACACAGCUUCUGCAGCCAUUCAGUCUCCAAAUAUCUACCUACCCACCGACUGCAACUGUUUUAAUCUCAAUCGUAGCAGGUAGGAC